AUUGAACGCUGGCGGCAGGCCUAACACAUGCAAGUCGAACGGCGCGGCGGACGGGUGAGUAAUGUCUGGGAAACUGCCUGUUAGUGAGGGAUCACGUCCGGAAACGGGCGCUAAUACCGCAUACUAUCAGAUGAGCCUAGGUCGGAUUAGCUAGUUGGUGGGGUAAAGGCCUACCAAGGCGACGAUCCGUAACUGGUCUGAGAGGAUGAUCAGUCACACUGGAACUGAGACACGGCCCAGACUCCUACGGGAGGAAGCAGUGGGGAAUAUUGGACAAUGGGCGAAAGCCUGAUCCAGCCAUGCCGCGUGUGUGAAGAAGGUCUUCGGAUUGUAAAGCACUUUAAGUUGGGAGGCGUUACCAACAGAAUAAGCACCGGCUAACUUCGUGCCAGCAGCCGCGGUAAUAC
rnacentral:rRNA from 1 species